rnacentral:rRNA from 1 species
GGGCCCGCACAAGCAGUGGAGUAUGUGGUUUAAUUCGAAGCAACGCGAAGAACCUUACCAGGGCUUGACAUCCCGCGCAUAGUAUAGAGAUAUAUGAAGUCCUUCGGGACGCGGAGACAGGUGGUGCAUGGUUGUCGUCAGCUCGUGUCGUGAGAUGUUGGGUUAAGUCCCGCAACGAGCGCAACCCUUGUCGUUAGUUGCCAUCAUUCAGUUGGGCACUCUAGCGAGACUGCCGGUGACAAAUCGGAGGAAGGUGGGGACGACGUCAAAUCAUCAUGCCCCUUAUGUCCUGGGCUACACACGUACUACAAUGGCUAUAACAGAGGGAAGCAAGGGAGCAAUCCGGAGCAAAAACCCCAAAAAUAGUCUCAGUUCGGAUUGUGGGCUGAAACCCGCCCACAUGAAGUCGGAAUUGCUAGUAAUGGCAGGUCAGCAUACUG